rnacentral:rRNA from 1 species
UACGGAGGGUGCAAGCGUUAUCCGGAUUCACUGGGUUUAAAGGGUGCGUAGGUGGGCAGGUAAGUCAGUGGUGAAAUCUCCGGGCUUAACCCGGAAACUGCCGUUGAUACUAUCUGUCUUGAAUAUAGUGGAGGUGAGCGGAAUAUGUCAUGUAGCGGUGAAAUGCUUAGAUAUGACAUAGAACAUCGAUUGCGAAGGCAGCGCGCUGCGCUAUUAUUGACACUGAGGCACGAAAGCGUGGGGAUCAAACAGG